rnacentral:piRNA from 1 species
UAUUGAAAUCAUGGAAGCUGAGGUAGCUUA